rnacentral:rRNA from 1 species
GAUGAACGCUGGCGGCGUGCCUAAUACAUGCAAGUCGAACGCUGAAGCUUGGCGCUUGCACCGAGCGCAUGAGUCGCGAACGGGUGUGUAACGCGUAUGUAACCCGCCUCUCAGCGGGGGAUAACUAGUGGAAACGAUAGCUAAUACCGCAUAAAAGCCGACAUCGCAUGAUAUUGUUUUGAAAGGUGCAAAUGCAUCACUAAGUGAUGGACUUUCGUCGUAUUAGUUAGUUGGUGAGGUAACGGCUCACGAAGGCGAGGACAUAGAGCCGAACUGAGCGGGUGGUCGGCCGGACUGGGAGGGAGACAGGGCACAGAGUCACUCGGGAGGGAGCAGUAGGGAUACUUGAGGAAUGGGGGGAAAACUGACCGAGCAACGCCGCGUGAGGGAGCAGGGUUUUCGGGUGGUGAAGGUCUGUUGUAAGGGAAGAAAGAGUGUGAGAGUGGAAAGUUCAGACUGUGACGGUAACUUACCAGAAAGGGACGGCUAACUACGUG